CACGAAGUUAGCCGGGGCUUCUUCUCCGGAUACCGUCAUUAUCUUCUCCGGUGAAAGAGCUUUACAACCCUAAGGCCUUCAUCACUCACGCGGCAUGGCUGGAUCAGACUUGCGCCCACUGUCCAAUAUUCCCCA
rnacentral:rRNA from 1 species